rnacentral:rRNA from 1 species
UGGCGAACGGGUGAGUAACACGUGGGUGAUCUGCCCUGCACUUUGGGAUAAGCCUGGGAAACUGGGUCUAAUACCGAAUAUGACCAGGGGAUGCAUGUCCUUUGGUGGAAAGCUUUUGCGGUGUGGGAUGGGCCCGCGGCCUAUCAGCUUGUUGGUGGGGUUAAGGCCUACCAAGGCGACGACGGGUAGCCGGCCUGAGAGGGUGUCCGGCCACACUGGGACUGAGAUACGGCCCAG